GGCGGGACACGUGGUAUCCUGUCUGAAUAUGGGGGGACCAUCCUCCAAGGCUAAAUACUCCUGACUGACCGAUAGUGAACCAGUACCGUGAGGGAAAGGCGAAAAGAACCCCGGCGAGGGGAGUGAAAAAGAACCUGAAACCGUGUACGUACAAGCAGUGGGAGCACAGGUUUACCUGUGUGACUGCGUACCUUUUGUAUAAUGGGUCAGCGACUUAUAUUCUGUAGCA
rnacentral:rRNA from 1 species